GGAGCGACCCUCACAAGCAUGUGCGAAUGAGCACAAAUGGCAAACAAGCAUAAUCAAAAGCUCAAGAAUCCGAUCCUCAUGUCUCAAACAUGGAAAGCUACUAGUAACCCAACGGUCUAGCUCUAUGUUACAACGUGAUAUCCCAAUACUCACUUGCUUAGUGCCUCUUUAUGACACUUAAGCACCACAACUAAUCAAGCCCAAAUCAUGUUCUAUGUCCCCAAUUAAGACAUUAAUACCAAUGCUCACUAUGGCCCGAGCCCAAUGCCUCUUUAUGACAUUGGCCCAAAUUCUCAAAUAGUUUAAGUCCCUAAGCCUCUCUAGGCUUCCAAAGUCCCUAAUGUCACAAUUGGGCAUAAAGGUUAAAUGCAUGAUAGCAAUGUUUAUUUUCAUGAUAGGAAUUAUGGUUCCAAAUCUCAACCAGAAUGCUAUGUCUCACAUGCAUGCACUCUACCACAUAGAGGUCCAAAAAUUUACUAUACAUUACAUAUGCAUGUUAAUCAUUCUAAAAUUCAUAAUAAAUAUAUCUAACAUGAUUAUGCAUGCUUUUUCAUUUAACGAUACUCAAAUCAUCACAAAUAAGAUUUUCUCAUUAUGUGGCUAGGUCAAACCCACCGAACCGUCGCGGAGUCCUUCGUUUCGCCGAACGGAGUUGUCCACGAGUCUCUAAGUACCCUAAAAGUAAGGAGCGAAGAGAUACACGAGCAUUACGAACAACUCUAUGCUCAAACAUUAACCAUCACAAGCAAAGGGGCAAAAACUCACCUAAGGAGUAGAAAAUCUCUCUCAAGCUCCAAAAGAAAGCUAGAACCCUUCCAAUCUAACCCAAAGGAAGAUUCUAAUCCAAAAAAUUGAGCCUCAAAAGCCCUAGAUCAAAAAGCCCCAAAAUCAACCCUAAAAUCCCAUUCUAGGGUUCCAUCUCCUAAAAACCUUCAAAUCAUGAAAUCUUGGAAAAAGAACAAGUUGCUUACCUCCUAGAAGCUUCAAUCUUGGUUCAAAACCCUCUAGGUUCCAAGAUCU
rnacentral:lncRNA from 1 species